AGCUUUGCGCAGUGGCGAUAUCGUAACCAAUGAGGUUUUACCGAGGUGCGAUUAUUGCUAGUUGAAAAAAAAUAACUUUUCCGAGGUUCUUGCGAUAGCGGCAUCUUUACUAAUUUAGAUUUGUUUUUUGUUUCAGGUAAC